AGUAGCUCUAUAAAUAAUUAUUUUUGUUUUGUCGGCUAUGUUGCUGCUGAUGAAUGUUGGAUAUGGGUUCGAGUUUUCUCAUUUAAGUUUUACAUAAAUUUGGAGGUAAUGUUAAUUGGACUCGGGUGUUUUUUGUAAGAUAUGUGUAUGUAUGCUUCAUAAGUGUGUUCUUUUAUGUAUUUGGGAAUCUUUGGAAUAUAUUAAUGUCAUAUCCAUGCCUAAGAAUCUGUUGAACAUUGCUUGAAAUACAAGUUUCCGAUACGGUUUUUUUUGGAAAAAUGAAGAGUACGAGAGCACCUUACAAGUUGGAAAUGGGAAAUUAACUUGCUCCUGCUUCAUACUAUGGUCUAUAAGAUGGAUAUUGUGUUUUUUUGCAAUCAAGAGCUAGUGUAAGGGGUAGUUGUUUGUAGAAUUCUGUUUAUGUUAAUGGUGAUUGUUGUUCGAUCUUGUUAAUUAUGUAAUAAGCUCGUAACUCGUUCAAAGGCACAAAUGAGCAUGCUGUCAUAAAGUGUGACUUUAAGAGUGAGAAAGGGAAAACAUCUAACUUAUUAGAUGUACCUUAUUAGAUGUUGAGAAUGCGCUUGCGAAGUUCACAUGGGCUAAAGAAGUUCAUAAGAAGAUGGUUAAGCUGAAAGAGGAAGGCAAACCGAUGCCAAAGAACUUUGCUGAGGUGCAAAAGCUAAUGGGUUCAACACCAUUGGAUCUUGCCAAGUUUAAUAUGGUAAAGAGUGGAGAAAUGAGCCGUAAUGCUCCUUGUCCAUGUGGUUCCAAGAAGAGAUACAAAAGGUAAUUUGGCACACUAUUUCCCAGCGAUCUGUGUUGCUGUGAGUAGCUCAUAACCUGGACGCAGUGCUUAAGAGAUUUUAUGUCCUCAACCACGGAAUGUUUUUCCAGUGCCAGUGUUGUUCCCUUCAAGUAGCACAAUUUGUUUAUCUUCUUUCGUAAGAAGUUUCGCUUUGUGAGCUAGUUUCGUUUUGAUACUUAUAUGUUGUUGGGGUCUACUUUAGUAUCUAACUUUACAAGUAGGUCUAUUUUGACUAUGAAUUUAUAUUCCGUCCAAAUUUAAUGAUGUGAGACAAUCUUAAAGUGUUAUGUCAAUAAAAUUUUAUAUAUUUCAAGUUCAAA